UUUCAACAACGGAUCUCUUGGUUCUGGCAACGAUGAAGAACGCAGCAAAAUGCGAUAACUAAUGUGAAUUGCAGAUUUCAGUGAAUCAUCGAGUUUUUGAACGCACAUUGCGCCCUCUGGUAUUCCGGAGGGCAUGCCUGUUCGAGCGUCAUUACAC
rnacentral:rRNA from 1 species